CACAGUGUCAAUGCAGGCCCUGACCUGUCGAGGUGGAUGGGUGACAUUAACGUGAGGUGAAGUGCCACGUGACCAUUGAUACGUCAGGUAAUUGGAUUACACGCAGCUACAUUCUGCAUAGUUGCGCUGUCAUAUGUAGAUGUGCAUGUACAUUCCUUGCAGCUGCCAGGAGGUGAAGGUAAUAUGGAGCCAGGCUACAGAGAUUUGAAGGAAGAGAAAACCAAGUAUCUAGAAGAGGAGGCAGUGGAUUGGAGCAGAUGCCUUCAGUUGGGUCUCCAUUAUCCAGAGACCUGCUAUCCGGAAUACUCUAAAAACCAGAAUAUCCCGGACCUGCAGUGACGCCAUGACAUGCCGCAACAUCAUGACGGCAUUACUACUGUGUCCAAUGGCUGGCAGCAGCGGAGUGGCUUUGCAGCCAUUCCCUCAACGCAUAGUGCAUUCCGGACCCCCAAUGACCUCCCGGAAAACCACAAUGACUGCCGGCCCACCCACGAUGACUGCCGGACCCCCUACCGACCACCCUCAAUGACCGCUGGACCGGGUAUUCCAUUAUUCAGAAAAAUCCCAUAUCCAGAAUGCUCCUGGUACCUAGCAUUCCGGAUAUGGGAUACUCAACCUGUACUGUACAUCUUGCCCAUUGCAAAGGAAACUUAACUCAGCGGAAAAGACCUAAGUCAAAUAUCAAAGACAAUAUGAAUCUUCAAAGUAUAUAUCUUGAUAAUUCAGGAUAGCGGAAAUGUGGUUGCCAAUUUAUGUUUAAAUGCAAGAAAUAUAUAAUGUGGGUCAAUUAGGAUAAACUGAUGCAUAGAAAGCCACUGUUAGUCAGGCAGGCAUAUUCUGUAAAGAAGAUUAUAAAUGCUUUAAAAUUG